UGUGCCGUGAAUACACCUUGGAGAGCCUAGCUGGUGUCUGCACACCAUGUUUUUCCAAAACAAUGCUUUGGCAUUUCAUCUCUUGGGAGGUGGAAGAAAGAAGUGAUUUUAUCUGAUGAUUUUCUGGCCCUAAGAACCCUCUUUGGAAUGACUUUCCUUCAUCUAUAAAGACAUAUCAAGAUUCUGAUCCAGGCAUUCUGUUUCUAACUCUUAGGAUUCUUAGAAAAAAACAACGAUCUCCUCUACAGACAUCUCAAAAAGGUGCUGUGUGGGUCUAAAAAUGGCAUUAUUAAAGAGUGCUUUCUUGUGGAAGAAUUAGAAAACAGGAAAAGGCCUAUAACGGUUGGAACUCAGUUCAAGAACAGUGUAGCCAACCUAAUUGACAUCCUGAUGUCCAAGGAACCUUCUUACAUUCGCUGCAUCAAACCCAAUGAGGGAAAAGAACCGAGUGAG